GGAAUAUUGGGCAAUGGACGCAAGCCUGACGCAGCAACGCCGCGUGGAGGAAGAAGGCCCUCGGGUCGUAAACUCCUGUCCUUGGGGAAGAUGGUGACGGUACCCUUGGAGGAAGCCCCGGCUAACUCCGUGCCAGCAGCCGCGGUAAUACGGGGGGGGCAAGCGUUGUUCGGAAUUACUGGGCGUAAAGGGCGCGUAGGCGGCCUGCUAAGUCGGACGUGAAAUCCCUCGGCUCAACCGGGGAACUGCGUCCGAUACUGACAGGCUCGAAUCCGGGAGAGGGAUGUGGAAUUCCAGGUGUAGCGGUGAAAUGCGUAGAUAUCUGGAGGAACACCGGUGGCGAAGGCGGCAUCCUGGACCGGCAUUGACGCUGAGGCGCGAAAGCCAGGGGAGCAAA
rnacentral:rRNA from 1 species